rnacentral:rRNA from 1 species
GACGUAGGGCGCGAGCGUUGUCCGGAUUUAUUGGGCGUAAAGAGCUCGUAGGCGGCUUGUCGCGUCGUCCGUGAAAACCCACAGCUCAACUGUGGGCUUGCGGUCGAUACGGGCAGGCUAGAGUUCGGUAGGGGAGACUGGAAUUCCUGGUGUAGCGGUGAAAUGCGCAGAUAUCAGGAGGAACCCCGGUGGCGAAGGCGGGUCUCUGGGCCGAUACUGACGCUGAGGAGCGAAAGCGUGGGGAGCGAACAGG